UACAGAGGGUGCGAGCGUUGUCCGGAAUCACUGGGCGUAAAGGGCGCGUAGGUGGCCCGACAAGUCUGUGGUGAAAGCUCGACGCUCAACGUCGAGUCGGCCAUAGAUACUGUUGGGCUGGAGCACUGUAGAGGCUCAUGGAAUUCCGGGUGUAGCGGUGGAAUGCGUAGAGAUCCGGAAGAACACCGGUGGCGAAGACGGUGAGCUGGGCAGUAGCUGACACUGAGGCGCGACAGCGUGGGGAGCAAACAGG
rnacentral:rRNA from 1 species